rnacentral:antisense_RNA from 1 species
AGCUACAUCCGUCACCUGACACGGCCCUACCAGGAACAGCCGCGCUCCCGCGGAUUCUGGUGCUGCUCGCGUCCCCGCUCCCCUAUUCCCCUUAUUUUAUUCCUGGCUCCCCUCGUCGAAAGUCUUCCAUUCUUCAAACUAGAUUAUUUAAAAAUGAAAAAGGAAGAAAGGAAAGCGAGGUCAUCUCAUUGCUCUAUCCGCCAAUCAGGAGGCUGAAUGUCAGUUUUGAACUAAAAGCCGCUCCGCUCCUCUUCUAGAUUUGGAAAACAAGCGAAAUUAAACUAAACCGCUGCACGCCUCUGAUGCGACAUCUGGACACUGCGUGGCGCUGGCGCUGCCGGAGCUGCGGGCCCGGCCUGGCGCCGGACUAGGACUAUUUGCCACGACAUUUCAAAGGAUUCCAAGAGAGAAUAUUGGUGUCCCUGCUAUGAUGAUUCCUCAGCUCCUCUCAUCUUAUCUCCAUCCUGGCCUCCAUGACUUUCUUUCUUUGUGGUAGUUAGGGUGUGGUAUGUGCACUGAGGCCCACACUUACUGCUGCAAUUUAUAGCACUGAUCUGUCAUCAAUACCACUUGCUGUCUUGGAUGUGAAGAUGAUUUUUCCUGUAGGGAUUCCCUCUACAAAAUUAAAAACACUGGGCAUGAGGAAAUAAUAUUCAUGCUUUAAAUUGUCUUUUCCUUUAAAUUGUCUUUUCUCUUCACUACACCAGGGGUCCCCAACCCCUAGGCCACAGACUGUGGCCCUAGUGUAGUGAAGAGAAAAGACAAUUUAAAGCAUGAAUAUUAUUUCCUGGUGCCCAGUGUUUUUAAUUUUGUACUGGUCUGUGGCUUGUUAGAAACCAGGCUGCACAGCAGAAGGUGGGCAGCAGAUAUUGAGAAACCACAGAAAGAGAGAAGUUAAAUAAUUUUCCUGUCAAAGACCACAUCAAUGAUGAAGCCAGAAUUUGAGCUCGUGUACUUAACCACUGGACUGCCUGUCUGCCCUGUCAAGGAACUGCUAAGUCUCCCUUUUGAUGAGAAGAGUAAGUCUCAUUCUGAUUCAACAGCAGAGAUCAAAGAAAAGACUUCUGUUUUCUGGCCACCAGAUAUAUGUUAUCUGUGCUUAAAGAACUGAAAAACACACAUCAAAGGAGAAUUCUCUUGGAAAGAGAGGGUUCAAGCAUUAUUGUUAGGUGUGCUGGAAUCCUUUCCCGAGUCAGUACUGCUUUCUAGAACAGAACCAGGGAGAUCUAUUUGGAAUGUAUCUAACUCCAAAGAAACCAUCAGAGGUAAUAGUGGAGACGGGGUUUCACCAUGUUGGCCAGACUGGUCUUGAACUCCAGACCUCAUGAUUCGCCUGCCUCCGCCUCCCAAAGUGCUGGGAUUACAUGUGUGAGACACCACACUCAGCGGAUAGAGAGAAUUUUGACAGUCUCCCAAUGAAUGCCUUCACUGAUAUCCAAAGCAUGAAGAGACACACCAGGGAAAAACAUAGACCUAACACAGGACAAAUGGAAUUAUUAGAAACAUUUUCUAGCAGAAGAACACUAUUCUGUUGCCAUUUGAAUCUUUGCUUCUUUCUAGGUUUGACAAUGAGCCUGUCAUAUAAGCCCAAAUGUAAACAGAAAGAGGUUGAAUGAGUCACGAUAAACCCAAUUAUGCUGUGGUAACAAACAACCUCAAAAUCUCAUUGGCUUAAAAUAUACAGAAUUAUUCUUACUCAUGGCACAUAUCCAUCAAUCAUCUGCAGGGGAUCUGCUCACUGAAGUCACUUAGGAAUUUGGACUGAUGGAACUGCCACUUUUUGGUCACUAUAUGUAUUAAUCUAUUUUCAUCCUGCUGAUAAAGACCCAAAACUGGGAACAAAAAGAAGUUUAACUAGACUUACAGUUCCGCAUGGCUGAGGAGGCCUCAGAAUCAUGGUGGGAGGCGAAAGGCACUUCUUACAUGGUGGCAGCAAGAGAAAAAUGAGGAAGAAGAAAAAGCGGAAACCUCUGGUAAACCCAUCAGAUCUCACGAGACUUAUUUCACUAUCAAGAGAAUAGCAUGGAAAAGACCAACCCCCAUAAUUUAAUUACCUCCCUCUGGGUCCCUCCCUCAACAUGUGGGAAUUCUGGGAGAAACAAUUCAACAUAUGACACGUUCAUAAUUUAAACAAAAGCCUACAAAGAACUCAUAAAUUAAAAGAAGAUAAUCUUUUCACAAGGUGAUGGAGGCUUUUUAUUUUGCCACAGAACCACUGGUGACGUUGCCUGUGGCCACCUUGGAGAUGACACUGGAGGCCUGGGACAUGGAUACUGCUUUUCUGCAGGAACCACAUCCCUUGGAGUAAUGAGCUACACCUACCUCAAUUAUUCAGUGCAGUACAACACUCCAGACAGGGUCUCACUCUGUCACCCAGGCUGGAGUGUAUUGGCAUGAUUAUAGCUCACUGUGAUCUUGAACUCCCAGGCUCAAACCUGAGCAGCUGGGACUACAGGUGCACCACCAUGCAUGGUACCAGAGAUAUAAUAAUGAGAAACAGACAUGCUCCCUCCCCUCAUUGAGGUUACAGCUUAGUGUGGAGACAGACAGAUGCCUAAUGCACUAUAGUAUGGAAGGUGCUAUGGACACAGUGCUCAAAUCCAUGACCUACAUAGGUGGAGAACUUCAGUAAAGGAAGUGGCAGGAAUUUGGGAAUGAAGAGCACAGUGAUUAAACUGGGGCCAUUCAUAUGAGAGUUUAAGAACUCAGGCCGGUGACUUAGAUUGGCUUCUCUCACAUGGCAAGAAACAUUGCUGCUAGCACUUCUGGAGUUCUACGUUCUACAACAUCCACCACUGGAUCUUAACAUAGAUGUAAGAUCAAAUGUAAUAGCACGUCAAACAAUGUGUAACUCCAGUUAUACAAACAUUACUGUAUGUCAUUGGGGAUACGAAGCUCUACACACUUGAAGAUGGUGAAGGAAUAUAAAAAUCUAUAUGUCUCACAGUCCAGACUUGGAGUACAAGUAAUAAGAAGAAUAAAACUUACUCCCUUAAGUAGAUUCACCAUAAGUUAGCUCAGGGCAAUUCCAGUGCAAGUAUGGUCUGUGAUCCAACAGUAUCUCACAGACAGCAAGUUGAACAUUGUGGGAUGCAUAAGCUAUUGAGGCCUUUGAAGCUUUCUGCUACAUGGAGGCUAGGGCCAGAGUCAAGAUUUAUGCUUUGCAGCACACUGGUCAGCUGUUUUUGCAAAUCAGAUUAAAUGAUUUUUAAAUGAGGCUGAGAGCAUGGGAGAUACUAAUGUGUGUUUCCUUGUGAGCUACUGCAUAAGUUAGGAAAUUGAAAUACAGAAAGAUGAAAAGUGAUUCGCCCAAGCAUAUAGAUCAAAGCUGUGGCAGAACCAGGACUGGAACCUAUAUCUCUCUACUAAUGUUUUUUUUUUUUUCUAAAAAUAACCUUGUUUCAAAAAUAUUAAAAAGUCACAAGAAAGGUAAACAUGUGGAUAAACAAAAUGAAGAAAAUAAAAAUUAUCCAGUAAUAACAUAUUGGCAUACGUCUUUCUGGUGUAUUUUCCUGUGUUGUCAUUAUUAUCAUCUCCAUCAUCAUUAUAUCCAUCAUUAUCAUCAUCAACAUCAUCACCAUCAUCAUCAUCAUUAUCAUCACCAUAGCGAACACAUAAUGCUUACCUAGUGUCAGAUGCUGUCUAGGCAUUUUACAUGUAUUACUUGUAACCCAUGUAAUCCUCAUAACAACCUUAUAAGGUGGUUGCUAUUAUCCCCAUGUUACAUAUGAAGAGACCGAAGCAUAAAGAAGUCGCACAGCUGGUAAUUGGCUGGGAUUUGAACUUAAGCAGUCUAACCUUAGAGUAAUGAUUUUAACAACUAUGCUAUAUACAUACAAAUUUACAAAAUAAAACUGGGCUCAGACAAUAAA